ACUGGUGUCAGCCGCCGCGGUAAUACCAGCUCUCCGAGUGGUAGGGAUGAUUAUUGGGCUUAAAGCGUCCGUAGCCGGCUUAGCAAGUCUCCUGUCAAAUUCAGCGACCUAAUCGUUGAGCCGCGGGAGAAACUACUAGGCUAGGAGGCGGGAGAGGCCGACGGUAUUCUCGGGGUAGGGGUGAAAUCCUAUAAUCCCGGGAGGACCACCAGUGGCGAAGGCUGUCGGCUAGAACGCGCUCGACGGUGAGGGACGAAAGCUGGGGGAGCGAACCGGAUUAGAUACCCGGGUAGUCCCAGCUGUAAACGAUGCGGGCUAGGUGUUGGGGUGGCUACGAGCCACUUCAGUGCCGCAGGGAAGCCAUUAA
rnacentral:rRNA from 1 species